ACGGAGGAGGCGAGCGUUAUCCGGAUUUACUGGGCUUAAAGGGUACGUAGGUGGCUUGUUUAGUCAGUGGUGAAAGGUUGCGGCUCAACUUUAGCAUUGCCUUUGAAACUGCCAGUCUUGAGGGUGGUAGAGGGAGGUGGAAUGUCCGGUGGAGUGGAGAAAAGCGUACAUAUCAGGAGGAACACCAGUGGCGAGAGCGACCUCCUAAGCCACAACUGACGCUGAAGCGCGAAAGCGUGGGGAGCAAACAG
rnacentral:rRNA from 1 species